AAAGAACAUACUUCUCACGAAGAAGUAUGGGUGCAUAUCGGAGUGGAAACUCACCAAGCAAAGAGCUGCAGAGAUAAUGGAUUUUGAUUUUAAGAACAUCAAAGAGAUCAAAGUGCUCUCCUCGUCAUCUUUGGAGCUCGUUAUUUGGAAGCCUCAGGACGAUGCUGCCGUUCCAACAAGAACUAUAGCACGCUUUCGGUUUUCUUUAGAAGGAUUUGUACUGAUCGAAAGAGGCUCUUUGAGAAACAUGCUAAACAAGUUAAAAAAGAAGUUGCAGUCUCGAGCUCGUGAUAAAACUGCUCAUAUAAUAACUUCCACCUCGGAGGCGAUCAAAUCGAAAAUGAUACGUGUUGAGCAUAAUCAGUCCUGUAUCUUACACAAUCUUACCAACAACAAAUGAGAAAGCCAAGAGCUUCAAGAUCUGAAAAGCGAAGUAGGAUUCUCUCUCUGUUUCUCUGUGUUGUUUCUUUUUACUAAACGAGUUUUUGCUUGGAUCAGAG